rnacentral:rRNA from 1 species
GACGAACGCUGGCGGCGUGCCUAAUACAUGCAAGUAGAACGCUGAAGAGAGGAGCUUGCUCUUCUUGGAUGAGUUGCGAACGGGUGAGUAACGCGUAGGUAACCUGCCUUGUAGCGGGGGAUAACUAUUGGAAACGAUAGCUAAUACCGCAUAACAAUGGAUGACCCAUGUCAUUUAUUUGAAAGGGGCAAAUGCUCCACUACAAGAUGGACCUGCGUUGUAUUAGCUAGUAGGUGAGGUAACGGCUCACCUAGGCGACGAUACAUAGCCGACCUGAGAGGGUGAUCGGCCACACGGGGACUGAGACGCGGCCCAGAAUCCGCCGGGAGGCAGCAGUAGGGAAUCUUCGGCAAUGGGGGCAACCCUGACCGAGCAACGCCGCGUGAGUGAAGAAGGUUUUCGGUUCGUAAAGCUCUGUUGUAAGUCAAGAACGAGUGUGAGAGUGGAAAGUUCACACUGUGACGGUAGCUUACCAGAAAGGGACGGCUAACUACGUG